rnacentral:rRNA from 1 species
CGAAAGCCUGACGGAGCAAUACCGCGUGAGGGAGGAAGGCUCUUGGGUUGUAAACCUCUUUUCUCAGGGAAUAACAAAAUGAAGGUACCUGAGGAAUCAGCAUCGGCUAACUCCGUGCCAGCAGCCGCGGUAAUACGGAGGAUGCAAGCGUUAUCCGGAAUUAUUGGGCGUAAAGCGUCCGCAGGCGGCUCAGCAAGUCUGCUGUCAAAGAGCGGGGCUCAACUCCGUAAAGGCAGUGGAAACUGCUGGGCUAGAGUAUGGUAGGGGCAGAGGGAAUUCCUGGUGUAGCGGUGAAAUGCGUAGAGAUCAGGAAGAACAUCGGUGGCGAAGGCGCUCUGCUGGACCAUAACUGACACUCAGGGACGAAAGCUAGGGGAGCG